AAAGACCUGCCUGCCCGCUCUCUGAGGAAACCGGAAGGGAAACUCUAAUCGGUAAUCUGCCAACACUCAAACCAAGCUCUGCCUCCGCCUAGCCCUCAGCCUGCCGACAGCCUCUGGACCCUCACGGUUCCCCCCUCAGCCGCUCAGCUCAACUCCUGUACAGUGAACCCACUCGUGACCAGUCCUGGACCUGUUAACUCUGUGUGCAUUUCAGAAUCCACUCGUGACCAGACGAGUUUCCCUUGGGAUCUGUUUAUUUAUUGUAUUCCAUCUUCUAAAUAAACGUUUGAACUUUUA